CUCAGAGAGUUAUGUUCAAGUAGUCACGGGGGACCUGGAGCUUUCCAGCUUCCCAGACUCGACAAGUGUCCUGUUAGUAGCAGCAAGUUAAGUCCUGAGAUCUGGAAAAGUGCUGGAUGCUCUCAGUGAAUGGCCCACCACUUAGCCCAGCAUCUUGGUGGCCAGUAGGUGCAGAGCAGGUGCUGACUGCCCGAGUGGACGCAGCUCUGCUCAAAGCCUCGUCUACUAUCGUCUAACACAUGCUGUCAUCUUGUGAUUGUGGCUCUUAAACUCUGACAUUGGCAGGGAACGCAUUGCUGGGUAAGUCUCCUGGGGUCCUUGCGGAGGGACGUGGGAUCUGGCUUCCAGCCAGGCUCUCUGCUGUCCUGGGACCAGCGCGUUUCCUGGAUAUAGGAGAGUUUGGAGGGGAGACUCAAAUGAAGGUCACUGGAGGGGUCGAGGGGACCCCCCCCCGAGUCCUGAGAUCACCACACGUGCCCAGGAGCAUGCUCUCCCUCCCAGUCAUGGUGCCCCCUGCAGGGAUGGGAAUUUGGUGGAAUAGAGAAAAAGAGGGUAGAAACUAUGCUUACAUCCCCUCUGUGACUCCGAAAGUAGCUCUGUGACUGACAUCUGGGGAAAGGAAAAGCAAAGAGCUGCUUCCUCCAAGACCACCUUGAGAAAAGAUGGAGUGGCCGUCGGCCCCUCCCCCUCCUUUCUCCUGCGUGUCAUCCGGUCCUCUCACUGCUUGGGUGGGGAUGAAGAUCAGGGGGACUUCUCAAAGUUAUCUAAUCAGCCUCAGAGCUGGGACUAAAAUCCCGCUCUUGACUCUCGGGUCCUGGCCCCCUCACCACUGUCAUAACUACAGCGUAUGGAGCGCUCACCAUGUCUUAGCACUGAGUGGUUUCUGUGUAUUUUACUUAAUCCUAACAACGUUGUCAUCCCCAUGUUGCGGACGAGCCCGCUGACGUUUGGAGGGUCAGUAGUUUACCCAGGGAUCCACAGCUGGUGCUGAUGCCAAGCUCAUGCCCUUAUGAACCGUGCCCAGCAUUCCUGCAAGGGACCUCACUGGGCCGUGGUCUCUGAUUCCCAGGACUGUGGAAGGCCCUGGGCUUGCCUUUUCCCACUGUCAAUAAUUCAUGCUCGGUGUAAGCAGCCUGUGCAUUAGUUUGCUAGGGCUGCCAUACAAAGUACCGUGAAC
rnacentral:lncRNA from 1 species